CUCCUUUCUUUAAUAAUAAUGCAUUUACUUUAGAUCCGUUCUUACUUCCGCACCCCUUUUUCCUUUUUUAGGUGGUUAGGCAUCAGAUUACCAUCCGUCUCACAGAAACUCCCGACCUUAUCUAUCUUGCUCCCAUGGGAAACCUAGAUCCAACUGAUCUAAUCAAUUUGGAAACCCAUAGGAUCCCUUUUAAGCAAUCAACCAUGGACCUAGAUCACUGGUCCAGUACCUU
rnacentral:lncRNA from 1 species